CGAGNGAUCUGCUCAUGAAAUUAUUUAAUAGCCGCAAUUGUGCUAAGGUAGCAUAAUCAUUUGUCUUUUAAUUUAAGACUAGAACAAAAGAUUUAACAUUAAAAUAACUUUUUUUUAUUUAUUAAUUAAAAUUAUUUUUAAUGUAAAAAAACAUUAAUUAAUAAAAUAGACGAUAAGACCCUAUUGAACUUUACUUUAGUUAAACUGGGGUAGUUAAUUAAUUAAUAUUUUAAAUUAAAUUAAUUUAAAAUUGACCUAAUACAAUUAAUUUCUUGAUUAAGUUACCAUAGGGAUAACAGUGUAAUAUUAUUUAUAAGAUCUUAUUUAAAAUAAUGAUUGCAACCUCGAUGUUGACUUAAUAUCCUUUAUAACGCAGUAGUUACUUUUAGGAAGUCUGUUCGACUUUUAAACAAUUACAUGAUCUGAGUCAAAACCCGGAGA
rnacentral:rRNA from 1 species